AUUAGGAUUUUAUACCUCCUAAUGACAACAGUACAGGCCCUGGCUGUGCUGAGCAGAGGUCUCCCAGAGAAACAGCGGCUGUGCUCCGACGCCAGCAGGCGCCAGGCACUGCCGAGGCGGGGGACAGAAAUGAUUUGCAUCUGACUGUCGCCUGCCUGGAAGCCGGCCCUGCUGGAAGAGCCUCCAGCUCGGGAGAGCAGCACCAGGGAGGCAGGCGGCCCUCUUCACAGCCCAGCCCGGGCUCUGCAGAAAGCACACGAGCCUGUCCUCUCCUCUUGGAUUGGAAACCCUGCACAACCCAGAGUGGCCAUGGGACUAUGGGACAAGGAUGUCCCAGGAAGCAAGAAGAAGCAGGUUUGGUGCCCACUGUGGAGUUUACAAGCUGUGUGAGAGCAUCCUGAUUUCUGGGGAUUCUGGAGCCUCAGUCUCUUCAUCUACAAGAUGGGGAUAGUGGUGCCUCCCUUCCGGGGCAGAGGCACCCAGCAAGGCCGUGACAUCUGUAAGAGCCAGCACAGACAGCAUCAGCCUGUCAAAAGUGAGGAGCCUCUUGCUCCCUGACUCUCCUGGAGGCCAAGGUCAGCGCUCGCCUUCUCUGAAUCCCCUGAAGGCUGAGAACCAGGCUCUGACUGACUGUAGAUUAAUUAAUAUGGAGUCCAGGUCCCCACAAGGAUGUUUUUGGUUGUUUUAAAAAAAACUAGACAAUGAAAUGCUAUGUGUCACUUGUCAACAAAGCCCAGCAUAUUUCAGUGAAAUAAGCAUCUGAUUUUGGAAAAACUUAAUUAAAACUGCUGCUGGCGCUCAAGUGAUUUACACCAUCAUUCCCAGCCUCCGCCCGAAGAUUCCCUGGAGAGACACCAAUUAUCUCCUGGGGAUGUUGUGAAAUUUUCAAAAUACUCUAGUUCUAAACAACAUGAAUCUUUAAUACAUUUUAACUAUUUAAAAAAAAUCAGAUCACACAAAGCACUUUUUUCAGGAAAAAAAAAUUCCAAAGUUUGAAGAGAAGUAAAAUCGAAAAAAAAUAAAAAGACCCCAGCAGACAUGGGUCUGAACUCCAGGAUUUCAUCAGGUGCUGUGAGCCUACUAGGUGCUGUCACUGGGAAAAUCCCAGGCAAGUCACUAUCCCUUGGAUCUGGGAAGAAAUGGCUUUGUAGAUAGAGGAGGGAGCUGGGCCUUAGCUUGUCACCUCCACCAGCCUCUUGCAUGAAUCAGAACUGGCCCAGAGAGAAGCCUGCUGCUGAUCAUCCAUCAUCUGCUCACCUCCACCUCCUCUCCCGAGGCUACAGACAUGGUGGUGGUGGUGUUUCUGACCUCUCUUGUUCUUAGCAAGACUAUUGACUGGUCACCUACCACUCUGUCCUCCCUGGAGGCAAGUUCAAAAUUACAUCCAGUCCUGCACCACAAAAUGAAGUGUUAGUCCACACCGAGCCACAUCCGCAGCCGUGGUCCCUCAAGAUUAUAGUGGAGAUUUGUGCACAGUGGCUCAUGCCUGUAAUCCCAGGGGCUCAGGAAACAGAAACAGGAGGAUCAUGAGUUCAAAGCCAGCCUCAAAAAUGGCGAAGUGCUUAGCCACUCAGUGAGACCCUGUCUCUGAAUAGGACUGGGGAUGUGGCUCAGUGGUUGAGUCCCCAGUAGCCCCCUCCAAAAAAAAAAGAGAGAGAGAUUAUAAUGGAACUGCAACGUUUCUGCCAUCUGGGGCUGUCGUGACCAUUAUGGCACCACAGGGCAACAUGCCACUGACGUCUGUGGUGACAUUGGCAUAAGCACACCUGCUGAGCUGCAGGUCACAUAACCAGGCAGUCCCACGUGACAUAUCACCUGCAGUGGUGUACAGUACGUAACCUGGUCAGAUCACGGACGGCUGCUGGGUAUCUGCCGGGCUAGGUUUUUAUCGUCAUUUUAAAGCAUUCUCCUCCUUAUGUUUUUAAAAGGACAACUCUUUUAAAAGGCAGGUCCUUCAAGAGGUGCAUAAGAAUGUGUUGUCACCACAGGAGUGACAGCCCCGUGUGCGUCUCCUGGAGGCAUUCCAGUGGGCCAAGACAUGGAGGUGGAAGGUGGCGAUGUCAGGUCACGUGGGCUGAAGAGCGCGCGCGUGCGUGCGUGCGUGCGUGCGUGUGUGUGUGUUUGAAAAGUAAAGUAAUAAUAGGAAUAAUACUUAAUUUUAAAUAGUUGCACCGUGUGGCCCAGGAGUGGAGUGGGCUCUGCCUUCUAGGUUUGUGUAGGUACCAUCUGUGAGGUUCAGUGACAAAGUGGCCUCAGAAGGCGUCUCCCUCACUAACCAAGGCACAAUUGUGUCCACAUCCAUGAAAUACGGCCCGAUCCACAUGAACAAAUCCACCCCUGUGCUCAUUUAACAUUUAGGAGGUGGCCCUGGACUUCUCUGGGCCCAUGGCUCUGUGCCGUCAGAGGAGUGCGGAGCCCCGUGGUUACGGGAGACGGAGCCCUGCCCUCCUGGCUGCUGUGUAGCUGGCUGUCCUGCCCCUUUCCAGCUGUUCGGGCAGCAUUUUUCCUUUUGUGUUUUUUUCUAAUCUGACUUCAAGCCUCUCAGUGACCUGUUCCAUCUAGAUCCAUAACGUGUUUUGUGGGAUGAUGAAUGCUGCCCUCUGGUCAUCAUAUCUACAGCUAUGCCCAAGGCAGACAUCACUAAUCCAUCCCAGGAAGCCUUCCCUCUGAUCCAAGGGCUGGCCUCAGAACCACACUCAGCACAGUGCCCUAGUCAGCCACUACCAAUCGACCACAGACAGCAGGCAAGACGGGACAUGCUCACCAGGCCUGGGUGCAGCUGGGCUCUAAAACCUGUUGGGCCAUGAAGGGCUUAUGGGUUUGCUUGAGCCAUCUCAAGGACAGGGGCGGUGAUCUUCUGAGAACUCUCAGUGCAAUGCCACCGAUUCAAGACACUCAGUGUGUGCCGGCACCUGUCCAUCAGCUCAGACAGCCCACGGUCCAAACGCAGCAGCCCAGAAGUAGAGGAGAUGGGCGCUGAAGGGAAAGCAAGGAGCAAGAGACAGGUAAGUGAGAAAUGAGAGACCAGGCAGAGAUGCACAGAGGUUAUUUGUCAGAGUUAACAGAAAGGCCCUCUCUCCAUAGACGGGGAGGGCAACACAGGCUUGGGGUUCCAGGACUUCUGUGGGGGAGGCUCAGGAAUCAGAGCCUGUCGGGUCCUGUGUGGGCAGUUAAUGGUGGGGGUAAGAGGGGGUGGCCAGCCUUUCUCAGAAACACCCUCGGGGCUCUGCCUUGACUCUUAAUAUCGUCCAUGAGCCUGUGUGGUGGGCACCAGUGGUCCCCCUGGACAGGGGUGAAAACUGAGGAGUUUUCCUUGACCUCGUGUGUACACUCUCAAGACUGGAAAGCAAGAGGCUGGGGUUGUGGCUCAGUGGUAGAGCGCUCGUCUAGCACGUGUGAGGCCCUGGGUUCAGUCCUCAGCACCUCAUAAAAAUGAAUAAAUAAAAUAAAGAUGU